rnacentral:rRNA from 1 species
UACGGGGGGGGCAAGCGUUGUUCGGAAUUACUGGGCGUAAAGGGCUCGUAGGCGGCCAACUAAGUCAGACGUGAAAUCCCUCGGCUUAACCGGGGAACUGCAUCUGAUACUGGAUGGCUUGAGAUUGGGAGAGGGAUGCGGAAUUCCAGGUGUAGCGGUGAAAUGCGUAGAUAUCUGGAGGAACACCGGUGGCGAAGGCGGCAUCCUGGACCGGCAUUGACGCUGAGGCGCGAAAGCUAGGGGAGCAAACGGG